rnacentral:tmRNA from 1 species
GGGGUCGUUACGGAUUCGACAGGCAUUAUGAGGCAUAUUUUGCGACUCGUGUGGCGACGUAAACGCUCAGUUAAAUAUAACUGCAAAAAAUACAAACUCUUACGCUUUAGCUGCCUAAAAACCAGCGGGCGUGACUUCUGUUGACUUAUCUGUGGUUAGCUAGAGGUCUUAUUAUUAGCAGAUUACGUUUGGUUAUUGCCUAGCUGACCAAAAAGAGAUUGAUAGGCUCGCUGUGACAAGGGUUGAGUUAUGUGUCGUGUCUCAGUUAAAUCAAAUGCAUAACCUAUGGUUGUAGACAAAUAUGUUGGCAGGUGUUUGGACGUGGGUUCGACUCCCACCGGCUCCAU